GGAGUCAAUGACAAAGGCCGGUGCUUAAAAUAGAGCACUGAUAGAAGCCUAAAACUUGAAGAAAACUUUCAAGUUUAUUUAAGAAAAUGUCAAGAUAAAUUCAGUUUUGAAUAGCGUUUAUAAGCAAGAAUUCACCGAGUUGUCGUCGCCGGAUGAAUUAGAGGUUACACUAUAGUUUCGUUCACUCACCAUCCAAAUUUUCUCGCUCGAACUUGAUUUGAUAGAUUGUCGCUUCUAUCCUGAAAACACAGAGCUAAUCCGGAGAAGAGAGACGGACGAAUGUGGGGAUUGGGAAUUAGGAUUUCAGUUUUUU
rnacentral:lncRNA from 1 species